ACCAACGAAAAUAGAAAAACGAGUUUAUUAUAAACUAGUCAUCGUCUUCCCCCUUGAGCGGUGUUAGGGUUUACACAGUCCCUCUUUACCUUCAUCUCCAAUUGCAGCAUCGAAUUUUUAUUCAUUGUAACUAAAUUGGAACUUAUGGGUCAUAAUGAGGAGAAUACUAGCAGUGUGAAGAAAAUAAAUUCAGCAUGUGAUGUUGAGGCAUUAAAAAAGUGCUUGGAAGAAAACAAGGGAGAUUAUGUUAAAUGUCAGUCACAAAUUGAGGCUUUUAAAUCAUCAUGCUCAAUCAAGAAACCAAAUUCUUCUAUUGAUUCUUCACCACCACACAAGAUAGGUGUUUGAUAUUAUAUUAGAUGAUUGUGAUUUCUUUUACCAUUGUAGUAUUAAUUUGUGACAAAAUAAAUGUUCUCAAGUUGUAGCUUUACACUGUUAUAAAUUUGAUGAGUUUCAAUGAUACUAGUGAUUGUUAUGUGUUCAGAAUGAGAAUCAACACUAUGCUGAAGAAUAAUGAAUGAUGUUUAUGCCAUAAUUUGGUGGAGAGUUUCCCUCUGAUUUAAUAAGUUUAGUUAUAUGACUAUAUCCAUAUUCAAUGAAAUGAAAUUAUUAUGAUGUUA